rnacentral:rRNA from 1 species
GACGUAGGGGGCAAGCGUUGUCCGGAUUUAUUGGGCGUAAAGAGCGUGUAGGCGGCCAUACAGGUCCGUUGUGAAAACUCGAGGCUCAACCUCGAGACGUCGAUGGAAACCGUAUGGCUAGAGUCCGGAAGAGGAGAGUGGAAUUCCUGGUGUAGCGGUGAAAUGCGCAGAUAUCAGGAGGAACACCAAUGGCGAAGGCAGCACUCUGGGACGUGACUGACGCUGAGACGCGAAAGCGUGGGGAGCAAACAGG